rnacentral:rRNA from 1 species
UACGUAGGGUGCAAGCGUUGUCCGGAAUUAUUGGGCGUAAAGGGCUCGUAGGCGGUCUGUCACGUCGGGAGUGAAAACUCAGGGCUUAACCCUGAGCCUGCUUCCGAUACGGGCAGACUAGAGGUAUGCAGGGGAGAACGGAAUUCCUGGUGUAGCGGUGAAAUGCGCAGAUAUCAGGAGGAACACCGGUGCGAAGGCGGGUCUCUGGGCCGAUACUGACGCUGAGGAGCGAAAGCGUGGGGAGCGAACAGG